CAAUCUCGACGAGUCGCGAGACGCUGGCGGCGUGCCUAAUACGUGCAAGUCGAGAGCAGGAAUCGACGGAACCCUUCGGGGGAAAGUCGACGGAAUGAGCGGCGGACGGGUGAGUAACACGUAAAGAACCUGCCCUCAGGUCUGGGAUAACCACGAGAAAUCGGGGCUAAUACCGGAUGGGUCAUCGGACCGCAUGGUCCGAGGAUGAAAGGCGCUUCGGCGUCGCCUGGGGAUGGCUUUGCGGUGCAUUAGCUAGUUGGUGGGGUAAUGGCCCACCAAGGCGACGAUGCAUAGCCGACCUGAGAGGGUGAUCGGCCACACUGGGACUGAGACACGGCCCAGACUCCUACGGGAGGCAGCAGUAGGGAAUCUUCCACAAUGGACGAAAGUCUGAUGGAGCAACGCCGCGUGAACGAUGAAGGCCUUCGGGUCGUAAAGUUCUGUUGUAAGGGAAGAACAAGUGCCGCAGGCAAUGGCGGCACCUUGACGGUACCUUGCGAGAAAGCCACGGCUAACUACGUGCCAGCAGCCGCGGUAAUACGUAGGUGGCAAGCGUUGUCCGGAAUUAUUGGGCGUAAAGCGCGCGCAGGCGGCCUCUUAAGUCUGAUGUGAAAGCCCCCGGCUCAACCGGGGAGGGCCAUUGGAAACUGGGAGGCUUGAGUAUAGGAGAGAAGAGUGGAAUUCCACGUGUAGCGGUGAGAUGCGUAGAGAUGUGGAGGAACACCAGUGGCGAACGCGACUCUUUGGCCUAUAACUGACGCUGAGGCGCGAAAGCGUGGGGAGCAAACGGAUUAGAUACCCUGGUAGUCCACGCCGUAAACGAUGAGUGCUAGGUGUUGGAGGGUUUUCCGCCCUUCAGCUGCUGAGCAUAGCGCAUCACGCACUGCGUCUGGGG
rnacentral:rRNA from 1 species